rnacentral:misc_RNA from 1 species
UUUUUUUUUUUUUUAUCCUUUUUCUCUACUUCAGGGCUAGUUGUCAUGUUUGGACUUAGAGAAUUUUGAUGACCUCAGGAAUAGAUACUGUAAAUUAUUUUACCUGGUAAAAGUUGCUCAACGUGUUGUACUUGCGUUUGUCGAUAAGCAUACUGUAAAUUUUUUUACCAUGUAAAAAUGCACAAAUUAUACUAUAAAUUUUUUUACCAUGUAAAAAAAAUUUGUUGACUUCAGGGCUAGUUUUUAGUAGAGAUGUUGCAGCCAAGGACCAUAUUUUUGUGUUACACUUUCAGCUUCUCAGCUAUAACACCUUC